UCCGUCUUACGAGGCAGUCCCGCUAGAGUGCUCAGCAUGACCUGUUAGCAACUAACGGCAGGGGUUUCGCUCGUUAUGGGACUUAACCCGACAUCUCACGACACGAGCUGACGACAGCCAUGCAACACCUGCACAGGAUUUCUCUUGCGAGUUGGCCGACGUUUCUGCCGGUUACAUCCUGAUGUCUAGGCCUGGUAAGGUUCUUCGCGUUGCUUCGAAUUGAACCACAUGCUCCACCGCUUGUGUGAGCCCCCGUCAAUUCCUUUGAGUUUUACCCUUGCGAGCAUACUCCCCAGGCGGUGCACUUAACGCUUUUGCUUGGGGAGGGAGCGAGUUAGGACCCGCCCUCUCCCUAGUGCACAUCGUUUACGGCAUGGACUAC
rnacentral:misc_RNA from 1 species